CGCGGCCUAUCAGCUUGUUGGUGGGGUAAUGGCCUACCAAGGCGACGACGGGUAGCCGGCCUGAGAGGGCGACCGGCCACACUGGGACUGAGACACGGCCCAGACUCCUACGGGAGGCAGCAGUGGGGAAUAUUGCACAAUGGGCGGAAGCCUGAUGCAGCGACGCCGCGUGAGGGAUGACGGCCUUCGGGUUGUAAACCUCUUUCACCCAUGACGAAGCGCAAGUGACGGUAGUGGGAGAAGAAGCGCCGGCCAACUACGUGCCAGCAGCCGCGGUAAGACGUAGGGCGCGAGCGUUGUCCGGAAUUAUUGGGCGUAAAGAGCUCGUAGGCGGCUUGUCGCGUCGGCUGUGAAAUCCCGUGGCUCAACUGCGGGUCUGCAGCCGAUACGGGCAGGCUAGAGUUCGGUAGGGGAGACUGGAAUUCCUGGUGUAGCGGUGAAAUGCGCAGAUAUCAGGAGGAACACCGAUGGCGAAGGCAGGUCUCUGGGCCGAUACUGACGCUGAGGAGCGAAAGCGUGGGGAGCGAAC
rnacentral:rRNA from 1 species